GCUCCGGUGGCCUACCGGUUAGAGCGUCCGCCUCGACUGCGGGUGUUCUCGAGUUCGAACCCCGGCCGAAUCA